CCUACGGGUGGCAGCAGUGGGGAAUAUUGCACAAUGGGGGAAACCCUGAUGCAGCGACGCCGCGUGAGUGAAGAAGUAUUUCGGUAUGUAAAGCUCUAUCAGCAGGGAAGAAAAAAGACGGUACCUGACUAAGAAUCCCCGGCUAACUACGUGCCAGCAGCCGCGGUAAUACGUCGGGGGCAAGCGUUAUCCGGAUUUACUGGGUGUAAAGGGAGCGUAGACGGUAUGGCAAGUCUGAAGUGAAAGCCCAGGGCUUAACCCUGGGACUGCUUUGGAAACUGUGCGGCUGGAGUGCAGGAGGGGUAAGCGGAAUUCCUGGUGUAGCGGUGAAAUGCGUAGAUAUUAGGAGGAACACCGGUGGCGAAGGCGGCUUACUGGACUGUAACUGACGUUGAGGCUCGAAAGCGUGGGGAGCAAACAGGAUUAGAUACCCCUGUAGUC
rnacentral:rRNA from 1 species